rnacentral:tRNA from 1 species
AAUUAAUGAACUUGUCUAAGUGUUUACUUUGAAAGUAAAAAAAAGAGUAAACACUCUAUUAAUUU